GCUUCUUCUUCGGAAGAAGUAACCCGGCGGACGGCUCAGUAACACGUGGAUAACUUGCCCUUGGGUCUGGGAUAACCCCUGAGAAAUUGGGGACAAUACCGGAUAGGGCAUCGAUAGCUGGAAUGCGCGAUGUCCAAAAGCUGAGGCGCCCAAGGAUAGGUCUGCGGCCGAUUAGGUUGUUGUUGAUGUAAUGGAUCAACAAGCCUGCAAUCGGUACGGGUUGUGAGAGCAAGAGCCCGGAGAUGGGUUCUGAGAAAAGAACCCAGGUCCUACGGGACGCAUCAGGCGCGAAAACUUUACAAUGUGCGAAAGCACGAUA
rnacentral:rRNA from 1 species